rnacentral:misc_RNA from 1 species
GAUGAAGAACGCAGCGAAAUGCGAUAAGUAAUGUGAAUUUCAGAAUUCAGUGAAUCAUCGAAUCUUUGAACGCACAUUGCGCCCGUCAGUAUUCUGGCGGGCAUGCCUGUUCGAGCGUCAUUACGCCCCUCAAGUCCCCUGUGGACUUGGUGUUGGGGAUCGGCGAGGCUGGUUUUCCAGCACAGCCGUCCCUUAAAUUAAUUGGCGGUCUCGCCGUGGCCCUCCUCUGCGCAGUAGUAAAACACUCGCAACAGGAGCCCGGCGCGGUCCACUGCCGUAAAACCCCCCAACUUUUUAUAGUUGACCUCGAAUCAGGUAGGACUACCCGCUGAACUUAAGCAUAUCAAUAAGCGGAGGA